CUGUGAGCACCUGGGGGAAACCCACCGGACACGGGGAGAACAUGCAAACUCCGCACAGAAAGGCCCUCGUUGGCCACUGGGCUCGAACCCGGACCUUCUUGCUGUGAGGCGACAGUGCUAACCACUACACCACCAUGCCGCCCUUUCACUGAACUCUUUAAAUUAAAAAAAAAAGGAAGUGCUGGACAGAAACUGAUGGAACUCAUGCAGCACAUAAAGUGGGUGACACCAGAUGUGACUGCACUGCACUCUGUUGUCCUCAAAGGCAUUCCCAUUGUUGUUGGUGAUGACUCCAGCAAAUUCUACAAGACAUGCUUGGAAAUCAGGAGAGAUGAGGCCCUAGCAUCUGUCACAGUUGGCGUGCUGACAGUUUUCAGUGAAGAUAGUCCUCUGCAGGAUCCAAACUCAGUAUACCUCCAGCCGAUCUCCACUGCCAUCGUCCUUGAGGGAGGUAUAAUCAUGGAUAAUAUUAAGGACUUGCCUCAGGCAGUUUGCCUGUUAUUUUGGCUUACAUAUGCUUUGCAUUGGGAUUACCCAAAAUGCAUAGCAAAUACACUCAAAUUCAUCCAAACAGUAAUGCUUGGGUUGGGAAACAAAACCCUCUCUUCAAAACUGUUAACUCUGAAAAACAGUCUACUGUGUUAGACCAGUAGAGUCACCAGCUAUCCGAUAGCACUUGGUAAACUUGUUGUAAACUGUUAUUAUAAAAGCAAAGAGUUGAUUUCUCUGUCUUAAUAAGGUUGUGCAUAUGUCAUGCAAGCGCUUAAUACUUGUGGAUGACCCAAGGAGUGAUGUUUUUCUUUAAAUGUCUUGGUUUAAUUCUAGGAUUGAUGCUGUGAUAUUUUGGUCAUAGUUUUAAGUUUUGAUCAGGAAUACACUGAUAUUAUGUCAUAAUUACAUCAGGUCCAGUUGGCUGUACCAGUAUAGGUUAACUGUCGUUAUUGACAGGUGCCAGGUGCUUACUUGUUUAACACUGUGAGACACUAAACAGUCGGUAUGUCUUCUUUCGCAGUUGUAAAGAAUUGACACAUGGAUAUUUUUUCUUUGCCUUAACUAAUAACAGCAUACAUAAACCUCAUGUUCUGUAGUUGAAUAUCAAACCACAGUUGUUUGAGCUGUUGUUUAAUACUUGAAUGUAUAAGAAACGUAUAUUUAUGGACAGAAGACUGUACACUUGAGGCUGAACAAUAAAUAAAAUUCAUAUUGCUAUUGCAGUAGUGAAACUUAAAUUACAAGUAUCACAGUAUGAGCAAUUUAAAAAUAUUUUCACCAUACUAAAUGCAAGACAGGAUGGAAAACAGUUAUGUUAUUGGUCAUUAUAUUAUUACAUAAGGGUUUUAAGGUAGAGAAAAAGAAAUGCAAAUUUUAAAUUGGAGAUUUUAAAUUACAUAAUAUUUACACUAAUAUUGGAAUUAUCAGGUGUAAUGCUGGCAAUAUCAUAAUUGUUUAUUAUUCAGCAUAUCUGUCCCAGUGUUCAGUGCUGGUUGAAUGACUUUUAUGCCUUUUGAUGAUAAAUGUAAUAUGGUUAAAUCUACCCCAUGAGUGCUCUCAAUGCAGUGUUUUUAUGGGAUUAUUAUAUUUUACACAAUGUGUUUGUGAUACACUCAAAAGAUGUGACCAUUUUGUGUUUAUUUUGGGCAUUAUUGUUUGUUUAUUAUUUUUGAGCACUUCCUUUUGCCAGCUAAAUGGGAGAAAAAAAAUCAGUAAUGGAAUGAAUGCUCAAAGUAAUUAAUAUUACUUUUCUUGAGAGGAGAAUACUUAGAUUAGUAGGAAAGAGGAGAGUGGAACCAAUGUGUACAGAUGCGUUGUGCCCAGGCUUUCUAAGGUGGGAGUUUCCGCACUCUCCCCAGAGGAAAAUUGGGAAGAGAAAUGCAUGGUUCCUGUCUUCAUUCCUCCUGACAUUUCAUACGUAUUUUACAGGUUGGUACACUGUGAAAAUCACAAAUAACUAUCUCCUAAAGCUAAACUUUAUGUAUUGUGACUGUAAUGAGUCAUCAGUAAAUCCGAGUGUAUUGUAACAAGUUAAAAACUGGUUGUAAAAGCUACAUAUGAUAGCACUCUCAGGGAAAUGGUGAUUGUUUAACCAUGAAUCACAGACAAUAUUUACACUUGUAUGGGGUUAAAAACCUAUUAUUAUUAUUAUUAUUAUUAUUAUUAUUAUUGCCACUGUGUACAUUUAAAAUAGCAAAAUUUUCAGUGCUAUGGCCCUGAAUACUUAAGUUAUUUCUGUUCUGUUUAAGCUCAAAGGUGUAGGUUUUCCAUUUUGAGAAUUUGACCCAAACUAAUAUUUGGAGUUGAUUGACAUUCCCUAUAUGUGACAUAUUGAGUGUUUUGAGACAUAAAACAGCCUUAGACUACUUAAAAUAGCUUACAACACACAUAUAUCUUCAUUUAUGUUUCUCAGUGUAUUUUUAUGUAUGUGUUUAUUUGCUACUCAAUUAACAACAGUAUAUGAGAAGUAUAGCUUCUAGCUGAGUUAAUUGCACUAUGUGGUAGUAGCUAUGUAACCAGCACAGAUGCUGAGGAGGUACACUUGAACAAAUACUAAUGUCAUGUGUAACCUAGCAAUGGUUAUUGAGUGUGGUGAAAAUGAUGAGUUAAUGGAAAGACACCAUACCAAAGCACCUGAUUGCAACAAUGUAAGGACACUAAACCAAACCAUGGACAUUGAAACAAAGAUACACUCAUGCAUCAGGGAAGGUUUUGAAUGUUUAUUUAAUUUUUUCUGACAUUCUGUAAUAAAUGAGAGGAAAAUU